CAAACCAAACAGGAACACCCCCAGUCCCCCUACACAAAAGGAAUAGAAAUAAUGCUGUCUAAGUACUGUCUUAUUUUCUAUUCAUCCAACAGCAAGGAUAUACAAACUUUCCACAAGUCAUGUAAAAUGAAAAGGUAAAAAUGAGCUAGGUAAACUCACUGUGGUCUGUUACUGCCCCAGACUGGUGAAGCAAAAUGAAAUGCUGUCAUAUGACCAGGGUGGGUGCAAGUCUCCCUUUGUUUCUUACUUCUUGAGAUGAUUGGGAGGAGUAUUUUUUAGGAGUAACUACAUAUAUUACCUCAGAUGCUUAAUUCAAUACCAGUUCUGGCAACUAGCUAGUACUGUUGUUUCUAUCAGUGACAUGAAAAUGUAUAGUGUGUUUCUUCUUUCUAAUGGGAACUUUUCAGCUACUCUUCCAUCCACUUAUAUGUGAGGCUACUUUAAACUUUUGGGCUGACCUAUAAGACCCUAGACAAGAACCGGCUUUUGAAUGCAUGUUCUUUGGAGAAGAUUUACUAUUGGACAGAAGAGUCGUUUGGCUACUGAGAAAUACUUGCACAAAUGAAAAUAACGGUGUUCAUAAUUGCAAGCAGUAA
rnacentral:lncRNA from 1 species